UACGUAGGUGGCGAGCGUUGUCCGGAUUUACUGGGCGUAAAGAGCGCGCAGGCGGUCGUACAAGUCGCGUGUGAAAGCCCCCGGCUCAACUGGGGAGGGUCACGCGAUACUGUUCGACUCGAAGGCAGGAGAGGGAAGCGGAAUUCCCGGUGUAGUGGUGAAAUGCGUAGAUAUCGGGAGGAACACCAGUGGCGAAGGCGGCUCACUGGCCCGAUACUGACGCUGAGGCACGAAAGCGUGGGGAGCAAACAGG
rnacentral:rRNA from 1 species